GAACCGGAGCUAAUACCGGAUAAUAUUUUGAACCGCAUGGUUCAAAAGUGAAAGACGGUCUUGCUGUCACUUAUAGAUGGAUCCGCGCUGCAUUAGCUAGUUGGUAAGGUAACGGCUUACCAAGGCAACGAUGCAUAGCCGACCUGAGAGGGCGAUCGGCCACACUGGAACUGAGACACGGUCCAG
rnacentral:rRNA from 1 species